CGGGGGAGCACACAACGGGUGGAGCUGCGGUUUAAUUGGACUCAACGCCGGGCAGCUCACCGGAUAGGACAGCGGAAUGAUAGCCGGGCUGAAGACUUGCUUGACCAGCUGAGAGGAGGUGCAUGGCCCGUCGUCAGUUCGUACUGUGAAGCAUCCUGUUUAGUCAGGCAACGAGCGAGACCCACGCCAACAGUUGCUAGCAUGUUCUCCGGAAUGAUGAGGACACUGUUGGGACCGCCUCUGCUAAAGAGGAGGAAGGAAUGGGCAACGGUAGGUCAGCAUGCCCCGAAUUAUCCGGGCUACACGCGGGCUACAAUGGUCAGGACAAUGGGAAACGGCACUGAAAAGUGUAGUCAAUCUCCUAAACCUGUCCCAAGUUCGGAUUGUGGGCUGCAACUCGCCCACAUGAAGCUGGAAUCCGUAGUAAUCGCGUUCAAAAUAGCGCGGUGAAUAAGUCCCUGCUGCCUGCACACACCGUAAUCUAGAGCAUCGCGAGGUACCGAG
rnacentral:rRNA from 1 species